AUGAUCAGAAGGUAAAGAGCCUGGAUCCACCUCUUCUCAAGCUCAUUUAAGGACUAACAGCUAAUAAAGCAGUGUUUUUCCAGAUGGAAGUUGUACUUCUCAGAAGUUGUCACUGGUUAUUGAAAGCAAACACCUCUCUGGGUUCAGUAAGGAAGUAUGUCCAAGAUGUUAUCGUGUCCAGAUCCACAAACCAGUCUUGGAUUUGUCACACUGAGUGACAGAAUAAGGGGCUGCUUGUAUGAUCGAGGAAAUGCAGAUCUCAUUCUCUCUCUGUGUCAG